rnacentral:tRNA from 1 species
GCAGGAACGGCCGGGGCCCGGCGGCCGCCCGCGCGGGGCGGGGCGGCCGGGGGCACCCGGCCGGCGGGCGGUGCUACGCCGCCGUCUCGCC